AAGUAAAGUAUUAAUAGUGAAGUAUGUAGAUAUUUAUUUUAAUAAAAAUAAUUUUAUGAUAAUGUGUUUGAGUAUAUUUUAUAGAGAGAAUUAUAGGAUUAAUAGUGUAUUAGUAUUGAGAAAGAAUUGUGAAAUAAUUGAAAAAGUAUUUAAGUAAAAGUAGAUUAUAUAUUGUACCUUGUGUAUCAGGGUUUAUUAAAAAUUUUAUAUGGAAUUAUAAGUCUCGAAUUUAAAAGAGCUAACGUAAUAUGUGAGUUAAUGUGAUAUAUUUAUUAAUAAUAUUAUGUUAGAAAUGAAAUGUUAAUCGUUUUUUAAGAUAUCUAGUUUUCUAAGAAAUGAAUUUAAUUCAGUUUAAAUCGAGUAAUUAUUUUAAUUAAUAAGUAGUUAUUUGAUUUAAAAAAUGGUUUGAGGGAUAAGCUUUGAAUUAUAAAUUAUAAUCGAUUAAAGUAUUAAUUAAAAAUGUAGGCUUUAAAUUAGUCAUCAGUUUAAUAAUGUUAUAAAUUAUUUUAUAAUAAUAUAAUUUUAUAGGAGAUUUAAUUAGUGAAUUAGAAUAAUUUAUGGAAUAAUAAUAUAUUUGGAAUAAUGAUAAAAUUAGUAUAAUAAAUUGUAUUUAAUCUCUGUUAAGGGAAUUUAUAUUAAGGAACUAGGCAAAGAUAAUAUUCGCCUGUUUAACAAAAACAUGUCUUUUUGGGAAAAAUUUAAAGUCGGGCCUGCCCACUGAUGUAUUAAAGGGCCGCGGUAUUUUGACCGUGCAAAGGUAGCAUAAUCAUUAGUUUUUUAAUUGAAGGCUGGAAUGAAUGGUUUGACGAGAUAUUAACUGUCUCAAUAUAAAAUGUAGAAUUUAACUUUUAAGUUAAAAGGCUUAAAUGUGAAUGGAGGACGAGAAGACCCUAUAGAGCUUUAUAUAUUAUAUAAUUACUUAUUUUAGGGUUAGUGGGAGUAUUUAUAAAUGUAUAUUGUGUUGGGGUGACAUAAAGAUUUAAAUAACUCUUUAUUGAAAGAUACAUUUAUUUAUGAGUGAUUGAUCCAUUAUUAUUGAUUGUAAGAUAAAGUUACCUUAGGGAUAACAGCGUAAUUUUUUUUGAGAGUUCGUAUCAACAAAAAAGAUUGCGACCUCGAUGUUGGAUUAAGGAAUAUGAUUAGGUGUAGAAGUUUAAUUAAUAGGUCUGUUCGACCUUUAAAUCCUUACAUGAUCUGAGUUCAAACCGGUGUGAGCCAGGUUGGUUUCUAUCCUCAUUAUAAGGAAUAUUUUAGUACGAAAGGACCAAAUAUUUGAAAUAAUUUUGUUAGCAAUGAUUAUUAUUA
rnacentral:rRNA from 1 species